UAGAAACCGGAAUGAUUUAUUGAUUGAUUGAUUUUAUUUGACCAUUUCAUUAUAAAAUACGAUACAGCUAUGCACCAUACAU